AUGAAGGUUAAGGAACACUAUAUGAUUGGUAGGAAAGUUAUUCUGAAUUCUGGCAAUCUUGCCAGGAUGUGGCUGGAUCCUUGUGGCGAGGAACAACCACUUUGUGUUCAGUUCCCGGUGCUGUUCAGUGUGUGUAACAAUCAAGAGAUAAUUGUAGCCAGGUUCAGGGAGAAUGUGGAGGCGAGCUUCUUUAGGAGAAGGCUCAAUCCUCCUCUUCUGGACCAGUGGAGAGAGGUGCAAGAUAGGGUGAGGGCUUGGCCCAUUUCUAAUGACCCUGAUCAGGUU
rnacentral:rRNA from 1 species